rnacentral:rRNA from 1 species
UACGAAGGGGGCUAGCGUUGUUCGGAAUUACUGGGCGUAAAGCGCGCGUAGGCGGAUCUGCAAGUCGGGGGUGAAAUCCCGAGGCUCAACCUCGGAACUGCCUUCGAUACUGCGGGUCUCGAGUCCGGGAGAGGUGAGUGGAAUUCCUAGUGUAGAGGUGAAAUUCGUAGAUAUUAGGAAGAACACCAGUGGCGAAGGCGGCUCACUGGCCCGGUACUGACGCUGAGGCGCG